GGCAAGGUGGCCGAGUGGUUUAAGGCGUUCGAUUCGAAUAGGUAUAAGAUUAAAGGGGAGGCUAUGCACCCCUAUCUUAUAACCUCUUUAUCGAAUUCAUUCGUGAGCCGGGGUUCAAAUCCCCGCCUUGUCG